rnacentral:lncRNA from 1 species
UCAUCAAAUUGAAAAGGGAAUCAAGGGCUGAUUGUAUGCAUGAACCAAGGAUGAUGAUCCCUUAAGCAUUUCUAACAUCAACGUAGGAGCCAUGUCAACAUGGACACGAGCAUGGAAGGGCAAUGGGUCAACGGUAAAUACGGAAGCUAUGCAUGAACUCGGACGCACGAGGUAUUGCACGGAUUACCGCUACUACUACCGAAGAUAAGCAAGCGUUGAUCGAGUCACGGAGCAAGGGUUGUACGGAAAUAUGUAUUGUCUUGAAGCGUUAAUUUAAUGUGGUUAUUGUAAAUCCCUUUUGUAAAUGUUUAUCAUUUGUAUUUGAGCCUUCAAGUAAGUAAUGUGUCUA